CCCCUCUCAGGAUCACAACUGGAGAGUUUCCAAUACUCUACCAAUCUUGGCUAUGGGAGGGAGAGUCAAGCAGAGGCCUACCCAUUCCAUUCCUAGCUUGGCCAGUGGGUAGUGAGUGGAAGGCCAUCUGCCACAAGC
rfam:Ornithorhynchus anatinus chromosome 2, whole genome shotgun sequence.